ensembl:snRNA U6 U6 spliceosomal RNA
GUGCUUGCUUCGGCAGCACACAUAGUAAAAUUGGAACGAUACAGAGAAGAUUAGCAUGGUUCCCGUAAAA